rnacentral:rRNA from 1 species
UACGUAGGGUGCAAGCGUUGUCCGGAAUUAUUGGGCGUAAAGAGCUUGUAGGCGGUUUGUCGCGUCUGCUGUGAAAUUUCGGGGCUCAACCCCGAACUUGCAGUGGGUACGAGCAGACUAGAGUGUGGUAGGGGAGACUGGAAUUCCUGGUGUAGCGGUGAAAUGCGCAGAUAUCAGGAGGAACACCGAUGGCGAAGGCAGGUCUCUGGGC